rnacentral:rRNA from 1 species
GAUGAACGCUAGCGGGAGGCCUAACACAUGCAAGCCGAGCGGUAUUUCUUCUUCGGGAGAGAGAGAGCGGCGUACGGGUGCGGAACACGUGUGCAACCUGCCUUUAUCUAGGGGAUAGCCUUUCGAAAGGAAGAUUAAUACUCUAUAAUAUAUUAAUUGGCAUCAAUUGAUAUUGAAAACUCCGGUGGAUAGAGAUGGGCACGCGCAAGAUUAGCUAGUUGGUGAGGUAACGGCUCACCAAGGCAAUGAUCUUUAGGGGGCCUGAGAGGGUGAUCCCCCACACUGGUACUGAGACACGGACCAGACUCCUACGGGAGGCAGCAGUGAGGAAUAUUGGUCAAUGGGUGCAAGCCUGAACCAGCCAUCCCGCGUGAAGGAUUAAGGUCCUAUGGAUUGUAAACUUCUUUUGUAUAGGGAUAAACCUACCCUCGUGAGGGUAGCUGAAGGUACUAUACGAAUAAGCACCGGCUAACUCCGUGCCAGCCGCCGCCGUAAGAC